GAAUUCCCAUCAACCUCCAGUGACUCUACACAUAUAAACUUGAAUGAAACUCUUUAAAAAAAAAAUGGACAAUCCAAUCACACGUGUCAGCCAUCCACCAUCUCUACUCAAUGUAUUAGUUUCCAACUAAUUUCAAUGACAAAGCUGACCACCUCCAAGCUAACGCUUCUAAUGGAGUCAUGGCUGCUUUCGGUCUCCACCCCCCUCUCUUUUCCCUCUUUCUAUCUCUCUCAAUGAUGAUGUCUCGCCAUAAACGAUUACCAUUUAUUUGCAUUGCCAAUGCAUUGAUAGAUUACCUGGAAACAAGGAUCCUGACCUUCUACAGUCACUUUUAAGGUGUCUUAACACAGCCAAGUUAAGACUGAUUUAUUCCUACACCCCAUCUCCUUGUAUUUAAGUAUUCAGUUGUGUUUGCAGUGUUAAAGCCACCUCUGAGCAGCAUUAAACAGUGUAAAAACACAUCUAACGCCACUUCUGGGGUGUAAAUUUAGCAUGAGUGUUGGGUUAACCAUUACCCAAAUUACCAUGUUUUUAUUGUAGUAAACGUGCAUUAUUGUUUUUUUUUUGAUGUAUUGAUUAACUUUACCAUUUUUUAUAAACAAAGUUUUACUUCAAAUACGAUGCUCAAACUGUGGGUAAUGUAGCAAAACCAUGGUUCAUUUGUGGUUACUAACGUUAUGACUUCCAAUUUUCGUAAGGGUUCGAGUUCCUAUUAGGCCAAAUUAUUUAAUUUCAUAUAAAACUAAACUACCAUGUUAGAAAAUUCCUACAUAUUGAGUAAUAUUAGUCAAGGAGGGGGAAACCCGCGAGAUUAAAACCACGGAAGAAAUAAGCGCAUUUAACGCAUCUUUCUUCUGCUUUUGUUCGCGGCUCAAAAUGGCGCACGCGUUCACACGCGACUGAACACGAACCACUGUGAAACAUAAUCGAUCUCUAUAACGGGUAAAAACAGCCUGGAGCUGCUGGAAAUAUUAUUAAGACUACUGUUAAACCAAUACAGGAAUCAUCAUCGACGUCCCCAUCAAGCACUGGCAUUUCUCACCGUUAGAAACCACAUCUGAGAUGUGUUGCUAGGGCUGUGAGAGUCUUCGGCGAUGCUGCUGACGUGGAAACACACGCUUACUUCUGAAGUUCUAACGAAAAGGCAUUUUAACUAGAACGCUCGUUAUGAACGCCAACGGCUUUAUCGACUGGGACUUUUCAUUUCGACAACCAUCCUGCGUCAGUUUUUAACUCUCAAACUUCUCCAAUUCUGAGACUCGUCUUCAUCUCUUCCCCUGUUUUUAGUGGAAAACACUCAUCUCGCUGGCUUUCUCAGCAGAUUCACAUUUCUGAUGAGAAACUGAAAGCCAGAAGAUCUCAAAUUUUAAUCCCAGGCUGCGAGCUCAGUGUGAACACCAAACCUGUGAAGGAGAAAUGGAACGAAACCCAACACAAUGAUUGAUCAGUAGUUUGAUGCAUCCAUUAUAAAUGAUUUUGUGGAAGCAACUAAGGCAUAUCUUUAUGAUAAUUGGGGCUCAGGAGGAGGAGGGGACGUGAGGUCACUUCCUGUGCUGGGGACGCCGGGGGUCUAUAUAAACCCUGGGACCUGAGCGUCUGUUGGUCAAUCUUCUGCAGGAGAGCAGACGAGAGAGAGACGACACCUCGAGGCGUUUCAGUGUUUCUGCUGAUGAUGUUGAAGACACAGAGAUCUCAGCAGCGCGUCGCUCUCAUGAUACUGAUGGUGAUCACAGCCGUGCAGUGUCAGGAGGACCAGAGGUUAUCUGUCUAUCUGUCUAUCCAUCCAUCCAUCCAUCCAUCCAUCCAUCCAUCCAUCUAUCCAUCCAUCUAUCCAUCUAUCUCAGUACUGAAGCUACAGGUGGCUCAGUUGUGCAAUGGUCCACUCAGUGAGAAGCUGAACAUU